GUAUGAGGACUUACCCGUCUUCUUCCUUGGGUACUUCCAUGUCUUCGAUCAGUGUUCACUAAAACGUCACCACACACCCGCAACAAACAAACAACUGUUUAUGCUCAAGUGUCAGAGGUCAGAAUGACGAGGAGGAAGGAGGCGACGGUCACGCUGAGAGAGAGAGAGCGAGAGAGAGAAACCGGAAAACAUGACAGGAAUCCGACUGGAAGAGGAGAACCCACAUAACCAGACUUGACGCAACCAAGCUGCAAGAACAGCCUGACAGACGACAAAUGCAAAAG